GAUGUGUCGCGCUGUGCCAGAGAAAUAUGGAGUAUGGAGUCACGAGGUUUGUCACGGGAAAGCUUAUAUUUCGAUUUGAGACUACCUGGAGGCGUUCCUCGAAAAUUGAACUAAACAGAGAGACAACAUAAUCCAAAAGAUCAAGAAGACCUCGCAGACAUUGUCAAACGUUCGCUUGAAUUCGUAGGCAUGGCUUUACCUGUCUUCUCGGCGAGAUCAAGUUUAGUUGUGGUUGUGUUAAUACUGAGUGUGUAUUUGCUUUCAGCCAAAUCUCAUUUCACUGUUUUUGGUAGGAAAGCGGUAGAGCACAAUGUCUCGAUAAAUUUGGAUCGCGCUGUGUUCACUGUGAACGAAAAGUUUCUCUCCGUUGCCAUUGACUCUAGUAUCUUGAGGCACCACUGGUCACCGUACGUAAACUUUACCUCGGAGAAGCUGUAUACGCUUGCUAAAGGUCUCUCUCCAGCAUUUCUCCGGGUUGGAGGAACUUCAGAAGAUUUCUUAAUCUAUGAUGACUCAAAAGACUUCCAGACGUUCCAAAAUUUUAGCAAUUUUACAAUCUCACAUGCAGAUUUGGACAAGAUACACCUUUUGUCAUCAAAAGCUGACUGGGACGUCAUGUUUGGCUUGAAUGUGUUUUUAAGGGGAAAAGAUGGAUCUUGGAAUGCAAGCAAUGCAAAAGAAAUCAUGCAAUAUGUUGCAGAUCAUGGAUAUCGCUUUGGAUGGGAGCUUGGGAAUGAGCCAAACUUGUUUAAGAAAUUUAACAAGUCUAUUUCACCUGAAGAAUUGACAGCAGACUUUACCACACUCAGAGAAAUACUUAAAAGCAAUCCUGGGUUUGGCAACUUUCUUGUUGGCCCUGAUGUAACACGCAUAUUAAAUCACUCAAAAAGUGGCAUCUAUUUGGAGAGCUUUUUUACCCAUGCCAAGGAUGUCAUAGAUGCAGUUACCUGGCAUCAGUAUUAUGUCAAUGGAAGAACAUGCUCUGAGAAAGACUUUUACAAUCCAGAGGUCCUGGAUUACUUUUUGCAUGAAGUGAGUGAAGCCAAUUCGAUACUGGAUGGAAUAAAAUCAGGAUUUUCUCGGUGGCUUGGUGAAACUAGCAGUGCAUAUGGAGGAGGAGCAAGUGGAUUGUCAGACAGAUAUGUGGCUGGAUUUAUGUGGCUAGACAAGCUAGGUCUGGCAGCUCGGUUGAAACAUGAGGUGGUUGUGCGACAGACGUUUGUUAAAGGAAGCUACUCUUUAUUAGAUGACGAUCUGGAUCCAAAUCCGGACUACUGGCUCUCUCUUUUACACAAACGUCUUGUUGGAGAGAAGGUGCUGGACGUGAGUGGUCAGACAGAAGAGAAACGAAAGGUUCGAGUGUACGCCCAUUGCUCAAGCAGUGUUGUGUCAACAGGUGCCUGGAGCAAGGCUGUGGCUUGGUUACCAUGGUGACCUCGCUGCGGAGGAGAUUCUUGCAUCUAUGUGUCUGUCCCCCAGUAAAUCACAAGUAGAAAAAUGCUCAGUAUCCAUUGGGUUCUGUCACGCUUCUUGCUCUCAAUGUCCUCUUGGAUACGCCAGUCGUCCUGAAACUCAACGGUGAACUUAAAGGAAAAGAUGUCGACGUAUAUCUUCUUACUCCUGAGAACGGCGACC
rnacentral:misc_RNA from 1 species